GUCUACAGCCAUGCCACCCUGAACAAGCCCAGUGUCUGAUCUCAAAAGCUAACCAGGGUCGGGCCUGGCUAGUACUUGGAUGGGAGACCACCUAGGAAGACCAGAUGUUGUAGGCA
rnacentral:rRNA from 1 species